CCUACGGGAGGCUGCAGUGGGGAAUUUUGGACAAUGGGCGCAAGCCUGAUCCAGCAAUGCCGCGUGAGUGAAGAAGGCCUUCGGGUUGUAAAGCUCUUUCAGUUGAGAAGAAAAGAUUGUGACUAAUAAUUGCAAUUCAUGACGGUAUCAACAGAAGAAGCACCGGCUAACUACGUGCCAGCAGCCGCGGUAAUACGUAGGGUGCGAGCGUUAAUCGGAAUUACUGGGCGUAAAGGGUGCGCAGGCGGUUCUGUAAGUCAGAUGUGAAAUCCCCGGGCUUAACCUGGGAACUGCGUUUGAAACUACAGAGCUAGAGUGUGGCAGAGGGGGGUGGAAUUCCAUGUGUAGCAGUGAAAUGCGUAGAGAUAUGGAAGAACAUCGAUGGCGAAGGCAGCCCCCUGGGUCAACACUGACGCUCAUGCACGAAAGCGUGGGGAGCAAACAGGAUUAGAUACCCCGGUAGUC
rnacentral:rRNA from 1 species